rnacentral:rRNA from 1 species
CAGCAGUAGCCACGGUAAUACGUAGGUCCCGAGCGUUGUCCGGAUUUAUUGGGCGUAAAGCGAGCGCAGGCGGUUAGAUAAGUCUGAAGUUAAAGGCUGUGGCUUAACCAUAGUACGCUUUGGAAACUGUUUAACUUGAGUGCAGAAGGGGAGAGUGGAAUUCCAUGUGUAGCGGUGAAAUGCGUAGAUAUAUGGAGGAACACCGGUGGCGAAAGCGACUCUCUGGUCUGUAACUGACGCUGAGGCUCGAAAGCGUGGGGAGCGAACAGGAUUAGAGACCCCCGUAGUCCCUGUCUCUUAUACA